CACCAGCCCCUCGAGUGGUGGGGAUGAUUAUUUGGCCUAAAGCGUCCGUAGCCGGCCAGGUAAGUUUCCCGUUAAAUCCAACGUCUCAAGCGUUGGACUGCGGGAAAUACUACUUGGCUAGAGAGUGGGAGAGGUGUACGGUAUUCUGGGGGUAGGGCGAAAUCCUUUGAUCCCCGGAGGACCACCAGUGGCGAAGGCUGUACACUAGAACACGUCUGACGGUCAGGGACGAAAGCUGGGGUAGCGAACCGGAUUAGAUACCCGGGUAGUCCCAGCUGUAAACGAUGCAUGCUAGGUGUUGGGUUGGCCACGAGCCACCCCAGUGCCGCAGGGAAGCCGUUAAGCAUGCCGCCUGGGAAGUACGAUCGCAAGAUUGAAACUUAAAGGAAUUGGCGGGGAGCACCACCAGGCGUGAAGCCUGCGGUUU
rnacentral:rRNA from 1 species